rnacentral:rRNA from 1 species
AUUGAACGCUGGCGGCAGGCCUAACACAUGCAAGUCGAACGAGUGGCGGACGGGUGAGUAAUGUCUGGGAAACUGCCUGAUGGAGGGGGAUAACUACUGGAAACGGUAGCUGAUACCGCAUACUAUCAUAUUUGCCCAGAUGGGAUUAGCUUGUUGGUGGGGUAACGGCUCACCAAGGCGACGAUCCCUCGCUGGUCUGAGAGGAUGAUCAGUAACACUGGAACUGAGACACGGUCCAGACUCCUACGGGAGGCAGCAGUGGGGAAUAUUGGACAAUGGGCGAAAGCCUGAUCCAGCCAUGCCGCGUGUGUGAAGAAGGUCUUCGGAUUGUAAAGCACUUUAAGUUAGGAGGCGUUACCAACAGAAUAAGCACCGGCUAACUUCGUGCCAGCAGCCGCGGUAAUUC